GAUGAACGCUGGCGGCGUGCCUAACACAUGCAAGUCGAACGGUAACAGGUUCUCACUAUGCUUUUGAAGUUUUCGAAGGUUUAGUGAGAAUGCUGACGAGUGGCGGACGGCUGAGUAACGCGUGGGAACGUGCCCCAAAGUGAGGGAUAAGCACCGGAAACGGUGUCUAAUACCGCAUAUGAUCUUCGGAUUAAAGCAGCAAUGCGCUUUGGGAGCGGCCUGCGUCGGAUUAGGUUGUUGGUGAGGUAAUGGCUCACCAAGCCGACGAUCCGUAGCUGGUCUGAGAGGAUGACCAGCCAGACUGGAACUGAGACACGGUCCAGACUCCUACGGGAGGCAGCAGUGAGGAAUCUUCCACAAUGGGGGCAACCCUGAUGGAGCAACGCCGCGUGCAGGAUGAAGGCCUUCGGGUCGUAAACUGCUUUUAUAAGUGAGGAAUAUGACGGUAACUUAUGAAUAAGGAUCGGCUAACUACGUGCCAGCAGCCG
rnacentral:rRNA from 1 species